GGAGGUAGUGACAAUAAAUCACAAUGCGGAACAAUGUUUUGCAAUUGGAUUGAGAACAACGUACAAACCUUAUCGAUAAACAAUUGGAGGGCAAGUCUGGUGCCAGCAGCCGCGGUAAUUCCAGCUCCAAUAGCGUAUAUUAACGUUGUUGCAGUUAAAAAGCUCGUAGUUGAAAUGAAGGGUGGUUGUGUAAUGAAUACAUUCGUGUAUUUUGUUAUUCUACUACCCUCCUUCUAAAUUCGAUAUAUGAGUAUUAAUUUACUUGUAUAUGGUUUUAGACGUUUACUGUGAGAAAAUUAGAGUGUUCAAAGCAGGCAUUUGCUUGAAUAUAUUAGCAUGGAAUAAUCAUGUAUGAUUUUCAUGAUGUAUUUGAUUGGUUUGGUUCAUGAGAAUAAGAUUAAAAGGGACAGUUGGGGGUAUUCAUAUUCAAUAGUCAGAGGUGAAAUUCUCGGAUUUAUGGAAGAUGAACAAGUGCGAAAGCAUUUACCAAGGAUGUUUU
rnacentral:rRNA from 1 species